AGUAAGCUCUGUGGAUAUGAGGUAUGUGUUAUGGUCUUUAGUUGACCCAGUUUUGUUGGGGGACAGGAAAAAACUCAUUGUGGAGAGAAACCUAUGAAUGUAUGCAUUGUGACAAUACAAAUUCUUUGUUGCCUCUGCAGUUUCUUCACUCUUGUCUCUUUUGCGUCAGUCAUUUACUAGGUCACAGGAAUUUCAAAGUCAUUUUGUAACAUUUUUCUCCAUGGGUUGUUUGAAAAGAAUUUCUGGCCCCUUGGAUUCCAGGGACCACAGAUCUGAUCCAUAAAUAUCUUGUGAGAAGUGGAAAACCCACAGGCAAGAGUACCUUCCUUAGCACUGCUUUGGACAAGGGCACCCUGACCAGUCAUGAGGUGAUGGUCAACCAGACCACCUUUGCCCAAGAUUGCUUGACAAGGCCCACUUCUGCUUCCCUUAUCCCUGUAAUCUGGGAGCUCGUGUCAACCCUUGAAGACAGGGCUGCAAACACUGGUCCCCUUGUCUUCCCAGUGUAGAUGUAUGCUGAGCCCUGAUUAAAGUUUCUUUCCUGCCUUUCA